rnacentral:rRNA from 1 species
GACGUAGGAUGCAAGCGUUGUCCGGAUUUAUUGGGCGUAAAGAGUUCGUAGGCAGUUUAUUAAGUUUGGUGUUAAAUACUGAGGCUCAACCUCGGAAAUGCAUUGAAUACUGGUAGACUCGAGUACAGUAGAGGUUAGUGGAAUUCCCAGUGUAGCGGUGAAAUGCGUAGAUAUUGGGAAGAACACCGGUGGCGUAAGCGACUAACUGGGCUGUAACUGACGCUGAGGAACGAAAGCCAGGGGGAGCAAAUGGGGAUUAGAUACCCCCAGUAGUCCUGGCCGUAAACGAUGGGUACUAGGCGUAGCGGGUAUCAACCCCUGCUGUGCCGUAGCUAACGCGAUAAGUAUCCCGCCUGAGUAGUACGGCCGCAAGGUUGAAAC